UACGAAGGGGGCUAGCGUUGUUCGGAAUCACUGGGCGUAAAGGGCGCGUAGGCGGCCGAUUAAGUCGGGGGUGAAAGCCUGUGGCUCAACCACAGAAUUGCCUUCGAUACUGAUUGGCUUGAGACCGGAAGAGGUCAGUGGAACUGCGAGUGUAGAGGUGAAAUUCGUAGAUAUUCGCAAGAACACCAGUGGCGAAGGCGGCCAACUGGUCCGGUUCUGACGCUGAGGCGCGAAAGCUAGGGGAGCAAACAGG
rnacentral:rRNA from 1 species